AUUGAAAAACCAGUUCCAAGUAUGAUCACUGAAGUUAAGCAACAUCAAGCCCAGUCAGUACCUAGAUGAGUGACUGCUUGGGAAUACUAGGUGCUGUCAG